GUCAGGAUGGCCGAGUGGUCUAAGGCGCCAGACUCAAGCGCUGCUUCCUCACUCUGAGGGUUCUGGUCUCUCCUGGAGGCGUGGGUUCGAAUCCCACUUCUGACA
rnacentral:tRNA from 1 species